CAUAAAUGCGUUAAUUCACUGCUGUAUUUGUAGAGCAAUAUGGGAGGUUAGAAUGGAUCAUCAUAGGCUCAGGGUCGAAGGGAGAGGAAAAGAAGGAAUUCAGUCUUUUAACCUGCAAGAAAACUCACUCAUGCAGACAGAAGUCCAACAGCAAACAGCACACCAGGGUUGCGACUGAAAUGAAGAGCAGUUGAUCAUUAUUCACCCUGUAUGAAAAUGAUACGACCUAAAAGUUUAACUGAGUAGUACAGUAUUUUGCCAACCAUGCCUUUGAUAUUUGAAAUUCUGCUAUUGUCUCGUUUUAAAAGUUUUCUAAAGCCGGAGGUGGGUUGCUGGAAAACAAUGCGGUGUUUGCUGCAGGCUGAGAGGAGGACUGCGAUGUACUACCACCACAGCUCUAACAGGGCACAGAAGAGGACCUCAGUAGAAGACUACAGGUUUCUCCAUGGAGCAGCACAGAGGGUGAACAAAGGCAGGUGUCAUGUUACCCAGGUAGCUCCUGGCCAAUAGUGGUGACACCCCAAAUAAAAAAAAAAAGAGUAGGAAGCAUAGAUCAACAGACCUGGCCACCCCUCUCUUAACAGACCAAGAAAAGCUGUUCAAUACACAAGAAAAUAACACACACACUGUUUCCACGGUAUCUCACGGCAGACAUAACUUCCUAAGCCCACCCACAUCUGCACAGGAACAAAAUUGGAGCUGAAGAAGCAAAAGAGUAAGCUGCACCCUUCUUAUUUCUGGUCUCUAGAGCUGGGAUUCUUGACUAACGAUGGAAGGGGAAGCAGUGAGAUAUGAAAUGGAUAUGAGAUUAAAGUUUCCAGCAGGACUGAAUUUUAAUAACUGAAAGGACUGGAAAGUGAUGCAGUCUACUCAAGAUAUUAAGAUAUGGAAAAUAGAGAUUUAACAGAGCAUAAUUAAAAGCA
rnacentral:lncRNA from 1 species